rnacentral:rRNA from 1 species
GGCAGCAGCCGCGGUAAUACCGGCAGCCCGAGUGAUGGCCGAUCUUAUUGGGCCUAAAGCGUCCGUAGCUGGCCGCACAAGUCCAUCGGAAAAUCCACCCGCCCGACGGGUGGGCGUCCGGUGGAAACUGUGUGGCUUGGGACCGGAAGGCGCGACGGGUACGUCCGGGGUAGGAGUGAAAUCCUGUAAUCCUGGACGGACCGCCGAUGGCGAAAGCACGUCGCGAGGACGGAUCCGACAGUGAGGGACGAAAGCCAGGGUCUCGAACAGGAUUAGAAACCCCCGUAGUCC